rnacentral:lncRNA from 1 species
GUUUUUAUUCCAUAGCAUCAUGAAUACAAUUCGAUGAAUACCAGACCCAAGUUUUAUAUAACGUAUUCAUUAGCCAAGCAUCUAACCCACACCACCAUGUACUCCCCCCUUGAUUGCAUGCAUUCAUUUACCUCCUUAGCGAUAGGGCCAUAGAUUGAACUAUCAAUAUCUUGGCUUCUUAACUUAAAAGCCGCUAUCUUUUGUGUCUGUCUCCAGGAUAAGUUUUGCCACUUUUAAUUUACGUGUAAGCUGAGAAACCCACCGACAUGCCUUGAGUUCAGCCAAUUCAGGGACCAUGGUGAAGGAGAAAAAU